rnacentral:rRNA from 1 species
AGGACGAACGCUGGCGGCGUGCUUAACACAUGCAAGUCGAGCGGAAAGGCCCUUCGGGGUACUCGAGCGGCGAACGGGUGAGUAACACGUGAGUAAUCUGCCCCUAGCUCUGGGAUAGCUCCGGGAAAACCGGGAUUAAUACCAGAUACGACCACUUUAGACAUCUGCUGUGGUGGAAAGAAUUUCGGCUAGGGAUGAGCUCGCGGCCUAUCAGCUUGUUGGUGAGGUAACGGCUCACCAAGGCGACGACGGGUAGCCGGCCUGAGAGGGCGACCGGCCACACUGGGACUGAGACACGGCCCAGACUCCUACGGGAGGCAGCAGUGGGGAAUAUUGCGCAAUGGGCGAAAGCCUGACGCAGCGACGCCGCGUGGGGGAUGAAGGCCUUCGGGUUGUAACCCUUUCAGCAGGACGAAGCGAAGUGACGGUACCUGCAGAAGAAGCGCCGGCUAACUACGUGCCAGCAGCCGCGGUAA